UACGGAAGGUUCGGGCGUUAUCCGGAUUUAUUGGGUUUAAAGGGAGCGUAGGCCGUUUGGUAAGCGUGUUGUGAAAUGUAGGAGCUCAACUUCUAGAUUGCAGCGCGAACUGUCAGACUUGAGUGCGCACAACGUAGGCGGAAUUCAUGGUGUAGCGGUGAAAUGCUUAGAUAUCAUGAAGAACUCCGAUUGCGAAGGCAGCUUACGGGAGCGCAACUGACGCUGAAGCUCGAAGGUGCGGGUAUCGAAC
rnacentral:rRNA from 2 species